UGGGGAAUAUUGGACAAUGGGGGGAACCCUGAUCCAGCCAUGCCGCGUGUGUGAAGAAGGCCUUAUGGUUGUAAAGCACUUUAAGCGAGGAGGAAGGUACUGGUAUUAAUACUACCAGGUACUGGACGUUACUCGCAGAAUAAGCACCGGCUAACUCUGUGCCAGCAGCCGCGGUAAUACAGAGGGUGCGAGCGUUAAUCGGAUUUACUGGGCGUAAAGCGUGCGUAGGCGGCUAAUUGAGUCGGAUGUGAAAUCCCCGAGCUUAACUUGGGAAUUGCAUUCGAUACUGGUUAGCUAGAGUGUGGGAGAGGAUGGUAGAAUGCCAGGUGUAGCGGUGAAAUGCGUAGAGAUCUGGAGGAAUACCGAUGGCGAAGGCAGCCAUCUGGCCUAACACUGACGCUGAGGUACGAAAGCAUGGGGAGCAAACAGG
rnacentral:rRNA from 1 species